GUAGGGUCCAAGCGUUAAUCGGAAUUACUGGGCGUAAAGCGUGCGCAGGCGGUUGUGCAAGACCGAUGUGAAAUCCCCGGGCUUAACCUGGGAAUUGCAUUGGUGACUGCACGGCUAGAGUGUGUCAGAGGGGGGUAGAAUUCCACGUGUAGCAGUGAAAUGCGUAGAGAUGUGGAGGAAUACCGAUGGCGAAGGCAGCCCCCUGGGAUAACACUGACGCUCAUGCACGAAAGCGUGGGGGGAGCAAACAGGAUUAGAUACCCUGGUAGUCCACGCCCCUAAACGAUGUCAACUAGUUGUUGGGGAUUCAUUUCCUUAGUAACGUAGCUAACGCGUGAAGUUGACCGCCCUGGGAGUACGGUCGCAAGAUUA
rnacentral:rRNA from 1 species